rnacentral:rRNA from 1 species
GACGAACGCUGGCGGCGUGCUUAACACAUGCAAGUCGAGCGGAAAGGCCCUUCGGGGUACUCGAGCGGCGAACGGGUGAGUAACACGUGAGUAACCUGCCCUAGGCUUUGGGAUAACCCCGGGAAACCGGGGCUAAUACCGUAUAUGACCUGGUGCCGCGUGGUGUUGGGUGGCAAGUUUUUUCGGCCUGGGAUGGGCUCGCGGCCUAUCAGCUUGUUGGUGGGGUGAUGGCUUACCAAGGCGAUGACGGGUAGCCGGCCUGAGAGGGCGACCGGCCACACUGGGACUGAGACACGGCCCAGACUCCUACGGGAGGCAGCAGUGGGGAAUAUUGCACAAUGGGCGGAAGCCUGAUGCAGCGACGCCGUGUGAGGGAUGAAGGCCUUCGGGUUGUAAACCUCUUUCAGCAGGGACGAAGCGUGAGUGACGGUACCUGCAGAAGAAGCGCCGGCCAACUACGUG